rnacentral:rRNA from 1 species
AUACACGCUGGCGGCGUGCUUAACACAUGCAAGUCGAACGAAGUUUUUCUUUCGGGAGGAACUUAGUGGCGGACGGGUGAGUAACGCGUGGGUAACCUGCCCUGUACAGGGGGACAACAGCUGGAAACGGCUGCUAAUACCGCAUAAGCCCUUAGCACUGCAUGGUGCAUAGGGAAAAGGAGCAAUCCGGUACAGGAUGGACCCGCGUCUGAUUAGCCAGUUGGCAGGGUAACGACCUACCAAAGCGACGAUCAGUAGCCGAUCUGAGAGGAUGUACGGCCACAUUGGGACUGAGACACGGCCCAGACUCCUACGGGAGGCAGCAGUGGGGAAUAUUGCACAAUGGAGGAAACUCUGAUGCAGCGACGCCGCGUGAGUGAAGAAGUAUUUCGGUAUGUAAAGCUCUAUCAGCAGGAAAGAAAAUGACGGUACCUGACUAAGAAGCACCGGCUAAAUACGUG